rnacentral:snRNA from 1 species
AUCGCUUCUCGGCUCCUUGGAGCUAAGAUCAAAGUGUAGUGUCUGUUCUUAUCAGUUUAAUUUUUUUUGAUGAACAACUACAAACACCCGUCCAGAGGAUGGAAUCUGUUGAGUAACAUAGAGUUAAAGUUGUAGUGAUUACUUUAUUUUCCAAAUAAAUUCAC